rnacentral:lncRNA from 10 species
GAGGGGAAAGCCCAGCCGGCACCUGCGCAGGGUAAGGAAGUGGAUCACCUCCGCAUGACAGGUGCUCUCUGUGUGACUUACAUCACUUGGCUCAUAUCCCGGCCAUCAUUAGGAGGAAUUCCCCGAAAUGAUGCUGACGUUUUAGUUGACAUGGUGGUCUUCUAGUCGCAUCCUUGAAGACUCGUCAGUGAAUAAACCACAUUUAGUCAACCUUUUUAGGUGUGAAAUCAUCUUGGCUGUGUGGCACACUUUAGGGAAAGGAACUCCUGGCUGAAUGGAAGACAUCCACAUUACGCCCUCAAAUACCUUAUCUUCUGGGUGACCUCUGGGAAGCAAGGGGUGAAGGGGGUUUCCUCAGCAGUGAGAAUUAAUGUUGUUUAAAGACACAUUUCCAUGGCACGACUCGGUUAUUCCUACUGCAAGACGAGAAUUGUUAAUAGCAUUUAUUACUACCUUAUGUUGCCAGCUGUGUGCCCUUGGAAAAUCCCUUCACCUAUCAGCUCUCUGGGCCUCAGUCUCUUCCUCUGUAAAGCAGGGUUAACAGCGGAGUGGAAACGUGCUCUUUGUGAAGUGUCUAGACAGCGUCUGGCACGUGGCUGUAGGAUAAGCAUUGUUUCUGAGGAUGGUCAUUAUAUGAAUGUUAUGUCAUCUGCACUCAUUGUCCUCUCGCCACUAGAAUGGAAGCUCCCUGAGGGCAGAGUCCUUGUCUGUUUUGCCUGGUGCUGUGUCGCCAGAUGUGCACAGUAGGUGUGAUGCUGAAUGAAUGAAUAGGCAGCGUGACCUGUUUUCUUGGUUGAACUCUCUUUGAGGCCUCCUGGAAUGGAGUGCAUGGAGUACAGUCACCUGAGCCUGUGCUGUCCCUGUGACGCAGCCCCACCCACCCUCUGAGGAUGCUGCGCUGGACGAGGAGUCGCCAGCCUUCAGGUCGGGUCCUCCCUCAAACCCCUGUAGGCUGGACUGAACACGGUCACAUGGUUCAUUGGCAGCCCCCUUCUCUGUGUGAAAUCCUG